rnacentral:lncRNA from 1 species
CGUCUCUUUUUUAUUUUUCCUUUUCUUCUUCUUUCUAUCAUUCUCCGUCUCUCCUUUGUUUUCUUCUCUUCUUAUUUAUCUCUUCCUCUCUAUCUUUUUUGUAUAAUAAAUAAUCUAAUAUAAUCUAAUCAACCAUUUUUUUCUCUUCUUGUGACCCCCCACUCUCUCUUCUUCUUCUCUCCACCUUUUUUUUUUUCCUUUUUUUUCUUCCUCUUUCUGUCAUUCUCCAUCUCUCCUUUUUUUCUUUUCUUCUCUUUUUAUCUGCAUCUCUUGUCUCUUCCUCUCUGUCCUUUUUUUUUUUAUAUAAAUAAUCUAAUCUAAUCAACCCUUUUUUCUCGUCUUGUUUUUCUUUAUGUAAGUUUUCUGGAUGUUGUUUAUGAGAUGGAAAUUGAGGGAAAAAGGAUAGAGACUGGUUGUUGGCUGUGUUUUUUUUUUUUCCUUUUUUUUUUU